UCCAGGAUAGCCUAGUGACAUGGCACCUGCCCGGUAAGCAGAAGGUUGUGGGUUCGAUUCCCGCUCCUGGAC